ensembl:lncRNA
AAAAUAACCUUGAAGGAACACAUUUUUUAAAGAAGAAGCUUCUGGGAGGCAUUUAUUCUAUAAUCUGUACUCCUAGUUCUAUGAUUAUUUUAUCUAAAUUUUAAAAACUGAAAGUAGUUUCUCUUCUGUGCCCUGACACUGAAUUGAAACUGGAUUCUCAAAAGUAAUAUAUGAUAACAUGCAUCACAUAUUACCCAGGGAUUGGUUGGGUUCCAGUUACCAACUCCAGUUUAACCUUGAAUGAGGUAUUUCACCUCUACCUCCCCAUCUAUAAAAAUGAGGAAUUGGCACCUGGUACUCACUGGAGUUUCUUGACCUUGGACUACAGGCCAUGGGGUUUCUUUUGACUUCUGAGAGUGGAAAACAGCAACAAUGUUUAUGUUAAUGUUUUAUUUCUGGAUAAAAAAUAGACCAUGCAGAUGUUCCUGAGGUUUCCAUAUAGUGAAGACAAAAGAGCCAAUUAGGCUUUUCCAUUUAGAAGUUAAUAUGUUAAAAAUGCAGGAACAGAUAAGAACCAUCACAAAUCACCCCACACAUCAGUAAUCUCUAGGAUCAAAGUGACUCUUGUGUUUUUAUUCUGUGGCUUACCUCACUGGCCCCAGCCAGAUUAUGCUUCAAUAACUCAAGAGAGUCUUGUCAGAGAAUAAUUUUUAGUUUUAUGUCAUGUAAGCCAAGGGAAUUUUUAAGAAUGAAAGCAAUUUACUUCCAGAAAUACUGUUUGAAAUAGAUUUUAAAAAAGCAAAAUUUGAUCAUGGUAUUGAAAGUUUAUUAUUUUUGCUAAUAUUUAGGAAUAAGUGGAGAAUUUGUAUCUGGUUCAAAUAUGUUUGAUUUGAAAAACAUAAUUUAAUGUUUAUUAUUGAGUGUAUUUUCCAAAGUGGCUACUGAAUAAUUAAAUGCCAAGAAAAUUAAGUCUUAAAAACAUUGUGCAAGUAGUGAUUUAUAAAGAGCCUCACUGAAGAUGGUGACUUCCUUUCCUUCUUUCUAUACUUUCCUCUCAUUUUUCUCUUCUCCUUUUCCCAUUAAGCCAUGUCUUCCUGAAAAAGUCCCCAAACUGUAUAAAACUUGGCUUCUCUGUGAUGAGCAGGCUAUGGGAAGAUGGUGGCCAUUUAAGGGAGAAGGUCUAGCAGCUCAGUCAUAUAUAGGGAGUGAUAAGGGCUGACACCAGGUGAUGCAAUUGCAUUUCUUUAUCUUUCUUGCUUUCUUUUCUUCUCCUUUUUAAAAAAAAAAAAACUUUCUUUGAUUAUCACUCCUUUCACUUGGGCUUAAUCAUUUAAAUCACCGUUUCUUGUUCCUCUUUUAAAUUUUCAAGACACCAGCCAAAAAGAAUGAAAGCAAGGGAAGAAGAGUAAUUGUUUGAUAGUUGGGGAAAAGAGAAUCCUUAGUCCUGACAAAAUGUGUUUAAAAAAAUUAGUAUGUAACAUAUGCUAUAGAAAAUGCAUAUAUGAUAUGCAUAUAGCUUGAUGAAUUUUCAUAAAUUGAAUAUAGCUGUUUAACCAAAACACAGGUCUAAGAACAGAACAUUAGCAGCAUUCCAGAAACCCUAAGUCCCAAGGCCCCUUCUAGUCCUCACCUUCCUCUUCAAAGUUAAGUGCUAUCCCAUUUUCUAAAAGUAGAGAUGUAUCUGUUUCCAUAUCAUCUGGGGAGAAUGCAAUGGCACCCCACUCCAGUACUCUUGCCUGGAAAAUCCCAU